GACGAACGCUGGCGGCGUGCCUAAUACAUGCAAGUCGAACGCUUCUUUCCUCCCGAGUGCUUGCACUCAAUUGGAAAGAGGAGUGGCGGACGGGGGAGUAACACGUGGGUAACCUACCCAUCAGAGGGGGAUAACACUUGGAAACAGGUGCUAAUACCGCAUAACAGUUUAUGCCGCAUGGCAUAAGAGUGAAAGGCGCUUUCGGGUGUCGCUGAUGGAUGGACCCGCGGUGCAUUAGCUAGUUGGUGAGGUAACGGCUCACCAAGGCCACGAUGCAUAGCCGACCUGAGAGGGUGAUCGGCCACACUGGGACUGAGACACGGCCCAGACUCCUACGGGAGGCAGCAGUAGGGAAUCUUCGGCAAUGGACGAAAGUCUGACCGAGCAACGCCGCGUGAGUGAAGAAGGUUUUCGGAUCGUAAAACUCUGUUGUUAGAGAAGAACAAGGACGUCAGUAACUGAACGUCCCCUGACGGUAUCUAACCAGAAAGCCACGGCUAACUACGUG
rnacentral:rRNA from 1 species